CGGGGCGUAGCGCAGUCCGGCUUAGCGCGCCUGCUUCGGGAGCAGGAGGUCGGUGGUUCGAAUCCACUCGCCCCGA
rnacentral:tRNA from 1 species